CUGGUCAGAUUCAUGAAUUCCUUCUCUGAUAGUGUCUCUCUAGGGAGCGCGUUUGGCUAACCGGAGUUGGUUCUCCCACUCUGCCUGUGCUGUGAAGUAGGUAUCUACUAGUGCGAGGGUAGUUGUAAAGACCUCCCUUGGGGGGUUCUCUCCAUAAAAAGCUAGCCAGGGUUUCACUUCCCGAUCAAAUUCAGUCUCCAUAGUUUAGGGUGUAUUGUUAGAGGACCGGUCUUCCUCUGUUAGCUCUGCUUUCAGUGUUGACUUUGUUUUAUUGCUGGCUAUCUGACCUCUUGCUUCCAGCAAUUCCUUAUGGGUCGUUCGUUUUAAUACGGCAUAGUCCGUUUCUGUGACAGUAGUUACCGUCACUGGGAAUGGAAGACAGACACUAUGUUU